GACAGUCUGGUGUGUUUUUGUCUAACUUGUGGACAAAGACUUUUAUAGGGAAUGUAAAAAAUUACUGCUCUUUUGUAAUCCAGAACUCAUUGUUCAGUAUGAGUUUUGAUACAAAUAAGAAGAAAUAUU
ensembl:snoRNA